UACGAAGGGGGCUAGCGUUGUUCGGAAUUACUGGGCGUAAAGGGCUCGUAGGCGGCCAACUAAGUCGGACGUGAAAUCCCCAGGCUCAACCUGGGAACUGCGUCCGAUACUGGAUGGCUUGAAUCCGGGAGAGGGAUGCAGAAUUCCAGGUGUAGCGGUGAAAUGCGUAGAUAUCUGGAGGAAUACCGGUGGCGAAGGCGGCAUCCUGGACCGGCAUUGACGCUGAGGAGCGAAAGCCAGGGGAGCAAACAGG
rnacentral:rRNA from 1 species